rnacentral:sRNA from 1 species
AAGUUAUGUGGCAUGUUAAGUACGCAACGUCCUGUUGCAACACAUGCACUUGCACAUCCUGUGCU